rfam:Dipodomys ordii contig_3834, whole genome shotgun sequence.
GGGAAGGUAGCUCAGCAGUAGAGUGCAUGCCUUGCAAACAUGAGGCUCUGGGUUCAAUUCCUCAGCACCA